UCCCUGAUUGCCUAAUGCUUAGGGCUUUCACUGCUAAGGCCCAGGUUCAAUCCCUGGUCGGGGAA
rnacentral:tRNA from 1 species